GACGAACGCUGGCGGCGUGCCUAAUACAUGCAAGUCGAGCGAGCUUGCCUAGAUGAUUUUAGUGCUUGCACUAAAUGAAACUAGAUACAAGCGAGCGGCGGACGGGUGAGUAACACGUAGGUAACCUGCCCAUGUGCCCGGGAUAAUUUCUGGAAACGGAAACUAAAACCGGAUAGGUAGGGAUCUCGCAUGAGGACCUUAUUAAAGGGGCUGCGGCCCUGAACAUGGAUGGACCUGCGGUGCAUUAGCUGGUUGGUGGGGUAACGGCCUACCAAGGCGACGAUGCAUAGCCGACCUGAGAGGGCGAACGGCCACAUUGGGACUGAGACACGGCCCAA
rnacentral:rRNA from 1 species